AUGGCCGGCUCGGGUCAAUCAAGGUGUAGUAUCUGUUCUUAUCAGCUCAAUACCUGCCACGGGUUGUAUUUGCACCUAAGAUACUUGACUUAUUUUUGCAAGUUGGUAGAGUACUUAAAGCCUGCUUCACCUCCGCCGCGGGUCGGCCCGGUACUGCAAUUUCUUCGAUAUCGGCCCACGUAUG